rnacentral:lncRNA from 10 species
GCCACCCUUACAGCCCCGCGUGCAGCCUCUUGUGAGAGUCAGUGCACUUGGCACACAGAUUCUGCAACACUCCCGAUAUUUCCACCGGCGAUUGUGAUGCUCCAGGAGUAGAUGAGCAGAUGAACAGAAGAGCAGCAGAGAAGGAGAGAAGAGAAGGAACAUUGGGAGGAGUUCAGCUGGGGACCGCUGGAGAGGAAAUCAGCCUCAGGACAGCCAAACUCCAGGAGAAGAUCACCU